UACGGAGGGGACUAGCGUUGUUCGGAAUUACUGGGCGUAAAGCGCACGUAGGCGGAUUUGUAAGUCAGGGGUGAAAUCCCGGGGCUCAACCUCGGAACUGCCUUUGAUACUGCAAAUCUCGAGUCCGGAAGAGGUGAGUGGAAUUCCUAGUGUAGAGGUGAAAUUCGUAGAUAUUAGGAAGAACACCAGUGGCGAAGGCGGCUCACUGGUCCGGUACUGACGCUGAGGAGCGAAAGCCAGGGGAGCAAACGGG
rnacentral:rRNA from 1 species